UACGUAGGGUGCGAGCGUUAAUCGGAAUUACUGGGCGUAAAGUGUGCGCAGGCGGCCGCGCAAGUCGAGUGUGAAAGCCCCGAGCUUAACUUGGGAAUUGCGCUCGAAACUACGUGGCUGGAGUGUGGCAGAGGAAGGUGGAAUUCCACGUGUAGCGGUGAAAUGCGUAGAGAUGUGGAGGAACACCGAUGGCGAAGGCGGGUCUCUGGGCAGUAACUGACGCUGAGGAGCGAAAGCGUGGGGAGCGAACAGG
rnacentral:rRNA from 1 species